CAGUCGAACGAACUCUGGUAUUGAUUGGUGCUUGCAUCAUGAUUUACAUUUGAGUGAGUGGCGAACUGGUGAGUAACACGUGGGAAACCUGCCCAGAAGCGGGGGAUAACACCUGGAAACAGAUGCUAAUACCGCAUAACAACUUGGACCGCAUGGUCCGAGUUUGAAAGAUGGCUUCGGCUAUCACUUUUGGAUGGUCCCGCGGCGUAUUAGCUAGAUGGUGGGGUAACGGCUCACCAUGGCAAUGAUACGUAGCCGACCUGAGAGGGUAAUCGGCCACAUUGGGACUGAGACACGGCCCAAACUCCUACGGGAGGCAGCAGUAGGGAAUCUUCCACAAUGGACGAAAGUCUGAUGGAGCAACGCCGCGUGAGUGAAGAAGGGUUUCGGCUCGUAAAACUCUGUUGUUAAAGAAGAACAUAUCUGAGAGUAACUGUUCAGGUAUUGACGGUAUUUAACCAGAAAGCCACGGCUAACUACGUGCCAGCAGCCGCGGUAAUACGUAGGUGGCAAGCGUUGUCCGGAUUUAUUGGGCGUAAAGCGAGCGCAGGCGGUUUUUUAAGUCUGAUGUGAAAGCCUUCGGCUCAACCGAAGAAGUGCAUCGGAAACUGGGAAACUUGAGUGCAGAAGAGGACAGUGGAACUCCAUGUGUAGCGGUGAAAUGCGUAGAUAUAUGGAAGAACACCAGUGGCGAAGGCGGCUGUCUGGUCUGUAACUGACGCUGAGGCUCGAAAGUAUGGGUAGCAAACAGGAUUAGAUACCCUGGUAGUCCAUACCGUAAACGAUGAAUGCUAAGUGUUGGAGGGUUUCCGCCCUUCAGUGCUGCAGCUAACGCAUUAAGCAUUCCGCCUGGGGAGUACGGCCGCAAGGCUGAAACUCAAAGGAAUUGACGGGGGCCCGCACAAGCGGUGGAGCAUGUGGUUUAAUUCGAAGCUACGCGAAGAACCUUACCAGGUCUUGACAUACUAUGCAAAUCUAAGAGAUUAGACGUUCCCUUCGGGGACAUGGAUACAGGUGGUGCAUGGUUGUCGUCAGCUCGUGUCGUGAGAUGUUGGGUUAAGUCCCGCAACGAGCGCAACCCUUAUUAUCAGUUGCCAGCAUUAAGUUGGGCACUCUGGUGAGACUGCCGGUGACAAACCGGAGGAAGGUGGGGAUGACGUCAAAUCAUCAUGCCCCUUAUGACCUGGGCUACACACGUGCUACAAUGGAUGGUACAACGAGUUGCGAACUCGCGAGAGUAAGCUAAUCUCUUAAAGCCAUUCUCAGUUCGGAUUGUAGGCUGCAACUCGCCUACAUGAAGUCGGAAUCGCUAGUAAUCGCGGAUCAGCAUGCCGCGGUGAAUACGUUCCCGGGCCUUGUACACACCGCCCGUCACACCAUGAGAGUUUGUAACACCCAAAGUCGGUGGGGUAACCUUUUAGGAACCAGCC
rnacentral:rRNA from 2 species